GUAGUGUGGCAGACAGAGCAAAGCAUCCCGAGCGUCGCCGCAGCGCUAAGGAGUGUUCACCGGCGGCACCAGCCACACACUGCCAGGUCAGGCCAGGGCGGUGCGAGGCUCCACACUGGCCGGGGCAAGGUGAGGCUGACACGUAAUGCCUUCAGAGUAAAUGCAGCUUUCACUCCCAAACCAACACACACACAACACACACACACACACACACACACACACACACACACACACACACACACACACACCACGUAAGCUUAUUAAAGCAAUUAUUUUGAUAGGUUUUCAAUUCCACUACACCCACGUUUCCGUGCUACUCAUGCAAAACUUAGAAACGACCUUCCUCAUAGCUCUUGAAUGUUCAGUGCCUCUAGAAAUACAUAUCACAUUUACACUUUCAAUAAGUUCUACAGUAUCUAAAUUUACGUAUCAAGGCAUACUGUUACAGCAGCUGUACUCAUAUAACACUAAUUUACAGGAUUUAUAUUAUUUGAAAGUACUUUAGCUGAGCAUUGUCAUGGAACAUGGAUAAAAAACAAGUCAUCAACUGUUCUCUUUACACCAGUAAACAAAACACUCAUAGUGUCCUACAUAAUUUAGUAACAAUUUACUUCAAAUAAAAAUUAUGCCAAAGAAUUAACUUCUCUAUGGAUUAAUAUACAAUGUUGCCCAAACAUUGAGGAGGCAGGGCAGAAAAGGCCAUGCAAGCUAACAAUGGAACCUUGAUCCUAAGGGUGUGACAAGCAGAUGGUUGUGAAGCAUUGCAUCCGACAUGAGGCAUAGGUGACCCUGACAUGGGUGACUGAGGCUCCUCAUAACCUCCAGGACACACACACACAUACCCAUCAGGAACUGGGGAUGAACAGCCAAUCUGAUUGUUUAUGCAAUGAAUGAACACUGCAAAACUGCACCAAAAUUCGGAAGUCCUUAACACCUACCCUACUCCAAAUUUUUGUGUUUACUGUGACAAUCAUCUUUCCCUUCAAUUUUACACUAAGUAGGACUGCUUGAGCCUCUUGGCACAAAGUGGAGGUAUGGGACAUCAAGACAGGGAUACAAAAUCAGGAACACACACACACACAUAAGGAGGGGAGUUCAACAAUUUCUAAACAUGAAAACUAUCAAAAUAUAUAUAUGUAUUUACUUCCUGCACACAAAUUGAGCAUGUCCUUAAGUAGGAUUCAUAGGUACCUUAUCACCUUUCUCUUGCACACCAGUUUGGGUCCAAUAAGUGAUGCACAGAAAUUUGGGUCACACAGAACACAAACACAGGAAAUGACUUGGGCAACUAAGGGAAUAAAGCUAUACUUGUACACUGAACAUCCACCUUCACAUCAAAACAAGGGAAUUUGAACAAAGUGUAGCAUUACUGGGAUGAUGAGAUUUUCUUGACAAAAAGAUUGAUGAAUAAUACUCAGGUCGUCUUCAAUUAUUCCAAACACUCAAAAACUUCUGUUCAGCUGAGGAUUCGUAACGUCAAGCGUGGUGGUUAUAAUACUUGUACACAGAGAAUGAGAUUCAUAAUAUAACAAUAAUUCCGUUUGAUGCAAGUCAUCAAACACUAACAUUUGAGUUAAGGGACUUUUAAAAUUUUCAAAACAUGAGCACAUAUAUAUCUGCUGUCAUAUAGGAGACAUACAUAAGCAUUUACAUUUUAAAAAUUAUGUAGCUUAUGGAGAUGAAUCAAGAAAAGCAGUAAUUCUCUCCAGUCAGCUCAUGUCAAAAAGGAGACUUUGUAGUAGCCAGUCAGCCAGCCAGCCUUGUGUCAUUCCAUCAGAUGAAUCAAGCACACACUUACAUUCCCAAACAAGCAGAGGCAACAUGCAUUCUUGAAUAAAUUAAUGCACCCAAAACCUCUUGAACUACUUUUAAGACAGGGAAAAAAAAAGAAAAAAAAGAAAGGAAAAAAAAAGUGAUGCAUCCCUCAGAGCGAAAUGCAUUUCACCAGCAAGCGAUCUGAGCUGCAGCCUUCAUUCCCCUAAACUGUCAUGGAAUGUUGGUGGUUGGUUGGUUACACAUGCAAAAAAAUUCACUCUGGGUUUUUCUCAUUUUGGCACACUAAGAGGUGAGGCCUCUCGCGACGGAGGGGGGCCAAAACACUAAUAAUGUUGAGCUGCGGUGAACACUCCAGCAGACACUAUGGCUUCAGCCCAUGGUUACUGGAAAAGCCCACGGGAGGAGAUUGGUCUUGGGGUGAUUGGUGCCUGCGGGGGCGAGGGAGGGGAAGGUUGGGACAAGUUGUGGUGGUAGUUGUGGUUAUGCAUCUGCCAUUCCCAGGAGUAAUAAGCAACAAUGGCCAUGUUUUAGCAGUGGAGCAAAAUGCCCAAGGGAAGAAGGGUCUGUACAGGGGGCAGAGGACUGGGGGACUCAUGGAAGUGCCCAAAGAAGGGAAAGGAGGGGUGAGAGGGGGCAGGGAUCAUGAGAAACUCUAACCUAACUCCGUCUUGGUGGAAGAUUUCUAAAGCCCGAGAUCAGUAAUUUACACGGGUCUCGUGUGUGUGUGUGUGUGUGUGUGUGUGUGUGUGUGUGUGUGUGUGUGUGUGUGUGUGUGUGUGUGUGUGUGUGUGUGUGUGUGUGUGUGUGUGUGUGUGUGUGUGUGUGUGUGUGUGU